rnacentral:ncRNA from 1 species
UUAAAGUCAGUGAAAAGAGAGAGUAGGUAUAGGAAAUUAGUUUCAGAGAGCUUGGGGUGGUGUGAUCCAAGUGCUGUAGCCUUUAUUGAAUGGGUCUUUGAGAUGACACUUGGAAUUUAUAGUACAGGUGUACGGGAAGUCCGCCGUUAAAAGGACAGGGUAUCGAUUAAGUUCCGUACCUGGUAAAGAUUGUGUGUAACGUAGGUGGCAUAGCGAAAUAAGGUAUUUCGUCCUAAGGGAUGAAGUAUCUUUUGUUUUUAUAAACACUUUUGUUAUACAAAAAAUGGGUGGCACCACGAGUCACUUCGUCCCAUUA